rnacentral:rRNA from 1 species
GACGAACGCUGGCGGCGUGCUUAACACAUGCAAGUCGAACGGAAAGGCCCUGCUUUUGCGGGGUGCUCGAGUGGCGAACGGGUGAGUAACACGUGAGUAACCUGCCCUUGACUUUGGGAUAACUUCAGGAAACUGGGGCUAAUACCGGAUAGGAGCUCCUGCUGCAUGGUGGGGGUUGGAAAGUUUCGGCGGUUGGGGAUGGACUCGCGGCUUAUCAGCUUGUUGGUGGGGUAGUGGCUUACCAAGGCUUUGACGGGUAGCCGGCCUGAGAGGGUGACCGGCCACAUUGGGAACGAGAUACCGCCCAGACUCCUACGGGAGGCAGCAGUGGGGAAUAUUGCACAAUGGGCGGAAGCCUGAAGCAGCCACGCCGCGUGCGGGAUGACGGCCUUCGGGUUGUAAACCGCUUUCGCCUGUGACGAAGCGUGAGUGACGGUAAUGGGUAAAGAAGCACCGGCUAACUACGUG